GCAUAUAACUAGGCGGAGGAAAAGAAAUUAACGAAGAUUUCCUUAGUAACGGCGAGUGAAAAGGAAACAGUUCAGCGCCGAAUCCCUCGGUCUAUGGCCGAGGGACCUGUGGCGUGAAGGAGAGCCUAUCUGUCGGGUUAUAAGCUUCGGAAUAUCCCUCGAACGGGAACCCAAAGCAGGUGCGAGGCCUGUAACGAGGCGAUACCCGUCAGUUUGCGCCUCCGUAGAGUCGGGUUACUUGAGAGUGUAGCCCAAAGCGGAAGGUAAACCCCUUCUAAAGCUAAAUAUUACCACGAGACCGAUAGCGAACAAGUACCGCGAGGGAAAGUUGAAAAGAACUUUGAAGAGAGAGUUCAAAAGGGCGUGAAACCGCUUAGAAGAAAACGGACGGAGCCGUCAGGGGCCUCCGGGAAUCAGUCGAACGGUACGCGAAUAUAUCGCGCUCCAGAGCGUAAGUCUGGUCGCGGUACGAUCGAGUAGUGUCCGUACGGCGCAUUUCUCGGAGGUAAGCACUGCGACCGAUACGAUAGGCCGACGAGGCGUCGGGUUUGAGGGCGAGUCCUUUCGGGGUAUUCGUAACCAGGCCUUUCGUUUUUUUCGUCGGACCGCA
rnacentral:rRNA from 1 species